GGAUUGCUGCAACAAUAGUGAAACUUGUACUCUCAGUGGCUCCUGUCUUUAACCUUGUCGUAUCCAGUGACCUCAAAGCUCCAGCGCAGGAAGUGUGUGUAAUGAUACCUUGGCUCCAGUGUCCGGACUAUUGAUCUGCUUUGGUUGGACUGUGUCUGUAAAAAUAGCGCAAUUGCUCCAUGUGUGUCUGCCUGGUGCAACAGUGAACCGGCAGAGUAUCGGAGCAAAUGUGAAUCAUCCUACCUGACAUGGGUCAUCACAGGAGUCCCGCUCGCUCACCCCUUUGAAGACAUGGUACAGGCCAAAGAUGUGUCCCAUCUCAUGGAUCAUGGUGUUGGUGUGUCCUACGGUACCAAAGUAGGACGGGUUGAGCACCAUCCCACCUGGCAACAGCAGGAAACGCACAUUAGCUCUGUCACCACUUCCUGAUCUCUGAUUGACCGCGCCUAGCUGGAGUCAUUUCAGACUCCGGGAAUUAGAUCUGGAGGGCUACAACACGUCAGGAAAGUGUUGAAUCCUGGACUGACAAACCAACCAGCAUUCUGAGGCAGAAGCUUACCACUGCCCACAUAAGCCCCAAUGCAUAAACCAACGAAGAAGAAAGAAGAAUCAGUGGAAGGAGUGACUUGUAAUAUAGUGUAACAUCUUAUUUGGUAUGUGGAGGUCUACUGUAUUUUGCUGUCAUGCUUGGGUAAGAGGGCGUUGAGCAGGGAAAAGUUGUCUGAUUGUUGCAAUCUGAAGUCUCACCCAUUUCUCACACCCAAGCCCUUUAAAUUUUACAGCUGUCAGUGUGAUUUCACAAUUUUUCAACUGGCAACACAACUACAGCUUAUUAGGCAUGCUCGGGCUCAAAGAUUAUUUUCCCCUAGAACUAAAUGGUCGGUGAAGCCAAGAUUGAAGCACCAAGGAACUUCCACAGGCUGUAACCAUUGUAUCCGAAUUUGAUGUUGAAGCAAUGAGCAGUAACCAUCCAACCAUUUUCUACCACUUUAUCCUCUACAUGAGAGUCACAGGGGGACCUGGAGCCAACCCAAGCUGACAUAGGGUGAAAGGCUGUGGCUCUAGGCCGGUCGCUAGUCCAUCCCAACAUACAAACUCCAUUCACUCUCACAUAGUGUCCAAUUAA